AUGAACAAAUUUUUGCUCUUUAAAAAGUUAGAAGCUUUUUUUUAUUAAAAUUUC
rnacentral:tRNA from 2 species